rnacentral:rRNA from 1 species
GAUCUAGCUUGCUAGAUGCUGACGAGCGGCGGACGGGUGAGUAAUGCAUAGGAAUCUGCCCGGUAGUGGGGGAUAACCUGGGGAAACCCAGGCUAAUACCGCAUACGUCCUACGGGAGAAAGGGGGCUCCGGCUCCCGCUAUUGGAUGAGCCUAUGUCGGAUUAGCUGGUUGGUGAGGUAAUGGCUCACCAAGGCGACGAUCCGUAGCUGGUCUGAGAGGAUGAUCAGCCACAUCGGGACUGAGACACGGCCCGAACUCCUACGGGAGGCAGCAGUGGGGAAUAUUGGACAAUGGGGGGAACCCUGAUCCAGCCAUGCCGCGUGUGUGAAGAAGGCCCUCGGGUUGUAAAGCACUUUCAGCGAGGAAGAACGCCUGGUGGUUAAUACCCAUCAGGAAAGACAUCACUCGCAGAAGAAGCACCGGCUAACUCCGUGCCAGCAGCCGCGGUAAUACGGAGGGUGCAAGCGUUAAUCGGAAUUACUGGGCGUAAAGCGCGCGUAGGUGGCUUGAUAAGCCGGUUGUGAAAGCCCCGGGCUCAACCUGGGAACGGCAUCCGGAACUGUCAAGCUAGAGUACAGGAGAGGAAGGUAGAUUCCCCGGUGUAGCGGUGAAAUGCGUAGAGAUCGGGAGGAAUACCAGUGGCGAAGGCGGCCUUCUGGACUGAUACUGACACUGAGGUGCGAAAGCGUGGGUAGCAA